rnacentral:rRNA from 1 species
UCUGACACAGGUGCUGCAUGGCUGUCGUCAGCUCGUGUCGUGAGAUGUUGGGUUAAGUCCGUAACGAGCGCAACCCUUGUCCUUAGUUACCAGCACGUUAUGGUGGGCGACUCUAAGGAGACUGCCGGUGACAAACCGGAGGAAGGUGGGGAGUGACGUCAAGUCAUCAUGGCCCUUACGGCCUGGGCUACACACGUGCUACAAUGGUCGGUACAAAGGGUUGCCAAGCCGCGAGGUGGAGCUAAUCCCAUAAAACCGAAUCGUAGUCCGGAUCGCAGUCUGCAACUCGACUGCGUGAAGUCGGAAUCGCUAGUAAUCGUGAAUCAGAAUGUCACGGUGAAUACGUUCCCGGGCCUU